AUACAUUGAUUUGACAGACCUUCUAUAGGUACUUAUUUCCUGCCAAGGUUUUCACUACAGGUGCAAGAAAAAAGUGUCCUUGGGCUUUCUGCCUGUCUUAUUGUGACAGCACAGAUUGAGUGGGAGAAUACAGAA